rnacentral:lncRNA from 1 species
CAGAGCCCUGCCAUAAAAGGAGGCGAGAGACGGAUAUUGGCAAAUCUUUUCUGCUUCACUGAACUAUCCGUCUGCUCCAGCCCCAGCAAACGUUACUCAGCCUGAAGCCCCCAAGGAGUUUUGCUCUCCAAAGAUCCCAGGGUGGAUCUAUUGCUGCCACAUCACCAUGAAGUCUUUUCUUGCCGUCUGCACCCUCGCUGCUCUCCUGGCUACGGGGGCCUGUCUGCAGUGUAUGCGUUGUGAAGGAGAAGGAACCAGCUGCACGGGGACCAUACAGACCUGCCCUGCUGGGCACAACUCUUGUGGCGUUGUUCUAACAAAUUUGACACUUGCUGGAGAGGAGACCCAGACCAUUAUCAAGGGCUGUGCGACAGCCAGCCAAUGUAACGCUGGCUUCGUCUCGACGAACUUUGGGAGGGGAAUGAUGACAAGGACGAGCAUCUCCUGCUGCCAGACCGACUCCUGCACACCGGCACCUGCUCCAGGUACAUCGCCCAUCUCCUGCACCUCCCCCAUUACCUUCCUGAGCCUGGUCCUCCUGCCCUGCAGGGGUGC